rnacentral:piRNA from 1 species
UGAGAUUCUUUGUUAGGAGACACAAUCU